rnacentral:rRNA from 1 species
UACAGAGGUCCCGAGCGUUGUUCGGAUUUAUUGGGCGUAAAGGGUGCGUAGGCGGCGGAGUAAGUUGGGUGUGAAAUCCCGAGGCUCAACCUCGGAAUUGCAUUCAAUACUGCUUCGCUCGAGUACUGGAGAGGAGGCUGGAAUUUACGGUGUAGCAGUGAAAUGCGUAGAUAUCGUAAGGAAGGCCGGUGGCGAAAGCGAACCUCUGGACAGUUACUGACGCUGAUGCACGAAGGCCAGGGGAGCAAACGGG